GUGAACGCUGGCGGUAGGCCUAACACCUGCCAGUCGAACGGCAGCACAGUAAGAGCUUGCUCUUACGGGUGGCGAGUGGCGGACGAGUGAGGAAUACAUCGGAAUCUACUUUUUCGUGGGGGAUAACGUAGGGAAACUUACGCUAAUACCGCAUACGACCUACGGGUGAAAGCAGGGGAUCUUCGGACCUUGCGCGAUUGAAUGAGCCGAUGUCGGAUUAGCUAGUUGGCGGGGUAAAGGCCCACCAAGGCGACGAUCCGUAGCUGGUCUGAGAGGAUGAUCAGCCACACUGGAACUGAGACACGGUCCAGACUCCUACGGGAGGCAGCAGUGGGGAAUAUUGGACAAUGGGCGCAAGCCUGAUCCAGCCAUACCGCGUGGGUGAAGAAGGCCUUCGGGUUGUAAAGCCCUUUUGUUGGGAAAGAAAAGCAGCAGGUUAAUACCCCGCUGUUCUGACGGUACCCAAAGAAUAAGCACCGGCUAACUUCGUG
rnacentral:rRNA from 1 species